ACUCCUACGGGAGGCAGCAGUGGGGAAUAUUGCACAAUGGGCGCAAGCCUGAUGCAGCCAUGCCGCGUGUGUGAAGAAGGCCUUCGGGAUUGUAAAAGCACUUUCAGUCGUGAGGAAGGUAGUGUAGUUAACACCUGCACNAUUUGACGUUACCUACAGAAGAAGCACCGGCUAACUCCGUGCCAGCAGCCGCGGUAAUACGGAGGGUGCGAGCGUUAAUCGGAAUUACUGGGCGUAAAGCGCAUGCAGGCGGCCUGUUAAGUCAGAUGUGAAAGCCCGGGGCUUAACCUCGGAA
rnacentral:rRNA from 1 species